GUGAAGAUGCAGUGUACCCGCGGCAAGACGGAAAGACCCCGUGAACCUUUACUCUAGCUUGACACUGAACAUUGAGCCUUGAUGUGUAGGAUAGGUGGGAGGCUUUGAAGUGUGGACCCCAGUCUGCAUGGAGCCGACCUUGAAAUACCACCCUUUAAUGUUUGAUGUUCUAACGUUGGCCCCUGUUCGGGGUUGCGGACAGUGUCUGGUGGGUAGUUUGACUGGGGCGGUCUCCUCCUAAAGAGUAAC
rnacentral:rRNA from 1 species